rnacentral:rRNA from 1 species
UUACAACUCCCAAACCCCUGUGAACAUACCACUUGUUGCCUCGGCGGAUCAGCCCGCUCCCGGUAAAACGGGACGGCCCGCCAGAGGACCCCUAAACUCUGUUUCUAUAUGUAACUUCUGAGUAAAACCAUAAAUAAAUCAAAACUUUCAACAACGGAUCUCUUGGUUCUGGCAUCGAUGAAGAACGCAGCAAAAUGCGAUAAGUAAUGUGAAUUGCAGAAUUCAGUGAAUCAUCGAAUCUUUGAACGCACAUUGCGCCCGCCAGUAUUCUGGCGGGCAUGCCUGUUCGAGCGUCAUUUCAACCCUCAAGCACAGCUUGGUGUUGGGACUCGCGUUAAUUCGCGUUCCCCAAAUUGAUUGGCGGUCACGUCGAGCUUCCAUAGCGUAGUAGUAAAACCCUCGUUACUGGUAAUCGUCGCGGCCACGCCGUUAAACCCCAACUUCUGAAUGUUGACCUCGGAUCAGGUAGGAAUACCCGCUGAACUUAAGCAUAUC